AUUCUACCGUCACUGGGUCUUCUUAACUGACAAGUCUCGUGACCAUUCUAAAUAACCUAUCGAUGAUUCUCAUGGUGGUCUACCAUUUGUGGUUAUCCUGCAGAGAGAAGGGUCUUGGCUUCAUCCUCACCGUAAAAUUUCCUACGCGUUACAACAAGUGCCAUGUACAUGGGCUUUUCUUAUACCACUUUAAGGCUUAAACAAAAGCUUCAAGGAACGUUGUCUCUCUAUAUGGGUA
rnacentral:lncRNA from 1 species